AGAGUUUGAUCCUAGCUCAGAAAGAACGUUGCCGGUGUGGAUUAGGCAUGCAAGUCGUGCGCGAAAUGUAGCAUACAUGGAGAGCGGCGAAAGGGAGAGUAAUACAUAGGUACGUACCCUUCGGGUCUGGGAUAGCGACGGGAAACUGCCGGUAAUGCCAGAUAACGUCUUCGGACCAAAGGUGUGAUUCCACCUGGGGAGCGGGCCUGUGGCCUAUUAGCUAGUUGGCGAGGUAAUGGCUCACCAAGGCAAAGAUGGGUAUGGGGCGUGAGAGCGUGCCCCCCACUCACUGGGACUGAGAUACUGCCCAGACACCUACGGGUGGCUGCAGUCGAGAAUCUUCGGCAAUGGGCGCAAGCCUGACCGAGCGACACCGCGUGCGGGAUGAAGGCCUUCGGGUUGUAAACCGCUGUCGUAGGGGAGGAAGGUCUUGCGAAGAGCAAGGCUUGACCGAUCCUAGGAGGAAGGGCCGGCUAAUCUCGUACCAGCAGCCGCGGUAAUACGAGAGGCCCAAACGUUAUUCGGAUUUACUGGGCUUAAAGAGUUCGUAGGCGGCUUGGAAAGUGGGGUGUGAAAGCCCUCGGCUCAACCGAGGAAUUGCGCUCCAAACUACCGAGCUUGAGUAGGCUAGAGGUGAGCAGAACUGAUGGUGGAGCGGUGAAAUGCGUUGAUAUCAUCAGGAAUACCGGAGGCGAAGGCGGCUCACUGGGACCUAACUCACGCUGAGGAACGAAAGCUAGGGGAGCAAACGGGAUUAGAUACCCCGGUAGUCCUAGCCGUAAACGGUGAGCACUGGACCGGGGGCCUGCACAGGCCCUCGGUCGUAGCGAAAGUGUUAAGUGCUCCGCCUGGGGAGUAUGGUCGCAAGGCUGAAACUCAAAUGAAUUGACGGGG
rnacentral:rRNA from 1 species